GCCAUCGUAGUGCAGAGGUUAGCAUGUCCGUCUACGACGCUGAAAGCCUAGGUUCGAAUCCUGUCGUUACCA
rfam:Stomoxys calcitrans breed 8C7A2A5H3J4 unplaced genomic scaffold Scaffold140, whole genome shotgun sequence.